CACGCCGUAAACGAUGAUGACUAACUAUAGCCGUGAGGCUGUGGUGAAGCAAACGCAUUAAGUCAUCCGCCUGGGAAGUACGGUCGCAAGACUGAAACUUAAAGGAAUUGACGGGACCCCGCACAAGCAGUGGAGCAUGUGGUUUAAUUCGACGCUACGCGAGAAACCUUACCAGGGUUUGACAUGGUGGAUAAGGCCUCAGAGAUGAGGAGAUAAUACCCACACACAGGUGG
rnacentral:rRNA from 1 species